GGCACCCAUUCACUGCAGAGCAUCCAUUGCUGAGACACUGAUGCAGUGCUACAUUUCUACAAACCUGAUGAAGAAACAAACUCAUCCUGAUCUUGGAAAGCCUGAGGGUGAGUAAAUUUACAGCAAAUUUUCAUUUUUGCCUGAGCUAUUCCUUUAGUUAUGAAUUUAUAUAUGGAAAAGAUCUGUGAUUUUGUCCUUGUUUUCCACAGAUAAAGAACCGCUUGUUUGGAACGAUAAGAGGGAGUGUAUUUGAUGAUCCGUGUCUCUCUCCUGUCAGCGUGGCUAUAAAUACAGACCGAGUGCUUCGGGGUCAGCUGGAGCGUGACCUUUGACCUGCAGAAGAAAUCAAGUCAAAUGGGCUUGGAGUGACAUGAGGGUUUCCAUUGAUCCCCGGGACAGGAGACAGUGCUUAUACAGCCCCAAAAGGCCGUCUGGAACAUCUUAAGAAGUGUGAACGGGGUCACUGGUUUGGCAGAUUCCCCUCAUUCGCCCUGUUUGGAUCAGAACUCAGAGAGAAAAGAUGCAUCAAACACAUGAUGAAAUCCACAGAAACAUCAUGGUGUGAAGGGUAAAAGUGGACUCUGAGAUUCUGCUGUUUUCUUAAAAAGUCCACUGACAUGAAGCAUGAGAUUGUCAUGGUGCUCUCAGUGCAGGUGUGCAACUGCAGAGAGAGAAAGAGAGUGUUAUUCAUCCCCAGGGGGCACUGUUAGCCCUCCACUUCAACACCAACAACCUGCUCCAUGUGGCCCCCAAACACACACACACACACACACACAGCUGCAGAAGGUGCUGGUGACAGACAUUAAUUUGGUGCUUCAUAUCAUGACACAAAAGACAUCUUCCAUCAAGAGUCCACACGCCCUUCUGCUCAUCUGAGAAUCCAGAGCACAGUACUGCAGGAGUUUGAAGACUGCUUGCUACAUCUUCACCAUCAUCCAGCAGCUCCAUCGCCAUGGGAACUGAUGAUGCCAACGAGAGUCGGCCGCUAAUUGGUUCGGAGUGGAUGUGCCCCGCACUUGAACUUGGGCAGGAUUUUUUUUCUAGCGUGAGGCCCGUGGCACCUGUACCAACCGCAGGACCGUCUGCUUGGCAUUCAGCGUCCAAUAACACAUUUGUGGGAUAAACUCUGACACACAAACACAGAGGCUGUGGGCCGACCGCUGGUUAGGAAUGACAGAGGUCUGGUAGACACGUUGUUUUAAUUGCCAGUGUGAAGAUGCCCCAGCUGGGCUCUGGGAGGAGCGGGACGGUUAUCCGGGGAGGUCGGGAUGGGAAUUUUU
ensembl:lncRNA